ACAAAUUCUACGCUAAAGAAAUAACUAUUCAACACAUUGAGACAGGGUGAUGUUAAGGGUGUGCAGACAAAGGUAAUGCAGUGCCUCCGCUUAAUUGCCCUGACACCGUGCUUAGUUCCUCCAGCUACAUUCUGAGAGCUAAAAAUCUCUCAUUGUUAUUAAUUGUAUUCCUUUUAGAAUGUAAUGUCAUAUCGCUGCAGGCUGAGCUAAUGAAACAUACCCAUAUUACCAAAAUAGGCAUAUUUCUUUUUGUUCAAUGCAUUCUAUCAAAACUGUCUACGAAAGACAUUGUGUUAAAGAUCCUUUCAUGGAGUAAUAUAAAGAAUAUCUCAACUACCUCAACAUUUCUAUUACACGAUUACUAAAAUGCCCAGGAGGACUAAACAAUAUAGUGUGAAUUCAGUUAUCCUAUAAGACUUUGGAAAUAUUGCUAAUUCCUGCCUCUGAUUUAUGUUAAUAUUAAUGCUAGAUUACAUGCUAUGGCCUCUGAACAGCCACUGCAUACCAAUUCACACAAAGGCAGGGCGCUCCCAUGCACCAGAGCUAUAUGCCUCUAUUAUAAUGAGAAUCUGAAUUAUUUAUCUCUAUUUAUCCUACAGGAGUUCGCUCGACCCCAGUCCCAUUUUCUCUUCCUACUGCACAUCAAUGCGUGUAAACAUGACUUCAUAGCGGCUGCACUCUUCAUAUGUCCUGUCCUUUUUCAGCCACAAGGCACAGCAAUAGGCAGUAGACAAAAAUGUUACACCACUAAGAGAAUUCAUUUAAGCAUUUAUUUGAGGACUUGUACUUUUUAAAGAUUCCUAGAGAACCAGAUGGGUGACGGAAAGUAUCAAAAUACCAGGUUUCACAUGUAAUACUAAUAUUGGGAGAAAAAAAAGUGACGCUAAAAAUUAUUUAGUUAUUCUGAAAUCUGUCACUUUGGGAAAACAACAUCAGAAUUAGAAAAGAAUUAACCAUGUGACAUUGUGUCCUCACAUUUUCAACACAAGUGGUGAAUCACGAGGCAAAAAUCCCUCCAAACGGUGGUUCCUGAGCCCUACUCUGAGUCCAGGUUUCCAUCUUCCACGUGAGAGAGAAUUCCCAAACCACCUGUUGAGGGGGUGACUAAGGCCUCCACUGUCCAGAGGAUCUCCUGAAAAUCUGGAUGAGAGCCCAGGAGACAAGUGGGAAACGCCCCCCAGAUGCUAGCCUGGGAUGCAAAAGGAGGACCAGUUGACUGCUGGGUGAAUCGAUUCAAGCCGGGUGCCAUGAGAUGAACUGUCUCGGAAGCCCUUGAUCGGGAGUCCCCGAGUGGUUGACCACCUCACUGACCCUCAUGGCCUACUAUGUCUGUGCUCGUCCUUUGACCACUUGGCCCUGCCUGGCCGCACCCUGUUACAGCUGCCCUGGCCGGUUGCCUGCAGCCACCCCCUGCCCUGGCUGCCCUGGCUGCAGGCUGGACUGGGUCAGGCUGCUGCCCAGCUGGGCCCCCGGCAGCCACAGCCAAAUCCCAUUUUGACAUGAAACCAUUUAAAUGGAAAUCCAGUUUUACAAAGCACAAGUGACCAGUAAUGAAGACGUGAAUGAUGCUGAUGAGAAUUUUAUUUAAUUUUAAAUCAAUUGUGUAUUCUAAUUCAUUAAUAAAGGGGAAAAGAAAGAAUACA
rnacentral:lncRNA from 12 species